CGGACGGGUGAGUAAUGUCUGGGAAACUGCCUGAUGGAGGGGGAUAACUACUGGAAACGGUAGCUAACACCGCAUAACGUCGCAAGACCAAAGAGGGGGACCUUCGGGCCUCUUGCCAUCGGAUGUGCCCAGAUGGGAUUAGCUAGUAGGUGGGGUAAAGGCUCACCUAGGCGACGAUCCCUAGCUGGUCUGAGAGGAUGACCAGCCACACUGGAACUGAGACACGGUCCAG
rnacentral:rRNA from 1 species